rnacentral:lncRNA from 1 species
GUUGAGAUAUUGUACCUUCGUACGAGCUCAAAGGAACAGGGAAGAGAGGUUAGAUGUGUAAGAGCAACAGCGCUGAGCUUCUGCUGAUCCCUCACGUCAGAAUCCCAACAGCAAAAGCACAUCUUUGGUGGCACAUCUUUGGCGAGUACUUUCUAGUAUUUCUAAGUACUUCCGCGAGAAUUAAUUAUGACAGUUGAUUAUUGGGUUGAUUUAAAAUCUGAACCCGUUCCCCGCUAAGGCGCUAACUCGCCCGCGUCUCCUUCCCCGACCUACUCUCCUGCUUGACUCCCUCUGCAUCGCCCGCUCG